GAUCCUGGCUCAGGAUGAACGCUAGCUACAGGCUUAACACAUGCAAGUCGAGGGGGCAGCGGGAAGUCAGCUUGCUGACUUUGCCGGCGACCGGCGCACGGGUGAGUAACACGUAUCCAACCUCCCGCAUACUCGGGAAUAGCCUUUCGAAAGAAAGAUUAAUGCCCGAUGGUUUCAAGGGAUUGCAUGGUAUCUUGAAUAAAGAUUCAUCGGUAUGCGAUGGGGAUGCGUUCCAUUAGG
rnacentral:rRNA from 1 species